GGGUUGUGAGGUUAAGCGACUAAGCGUACACGGUGGAUGCCCUGGCAGUCAGAGGCGAUGAAGGACGUGCUAAUCUGCGAUAAGCGUCGGUGAGGUGAUAUGAACCGUUAUAACCGGCGAUUUCCGAAUGGGGAAACCCAGUGUGAUUCGUCACACUAUCAUUAACUGAAUCCAUAGGUUAAUGAGGCGAACCGGGGGAACUGAAACAUCUAAGUACCCCGAGGAAAAGAAAUCAACCGAGAUUCCCCCAGUAGCGGCGAGCGAACGGGGAGCAGCCCAGAGCCUGAAUCAGUGUGUGUGUUAGUGGAAGCGUCUGGAAAGGCGCGCGAUACAGGGUGACAGCCCCGUACACAAAAAUGCACAUACUGUGAGCUCGAUGAGUAGGGCGGGACACGUGGUAUCCUGUCUGAAUAUGGGGGGACCAUCCUCCAAGGCUAAAUACUCCUGACUGACCGAUAGUGAACCAGUACCGUGAGGGAAAGGCGAAAAGAACCCCGGCGAGGGGAGUGAAAAAGAACCUGAAACCGUGUACGUACAAGCAGUGGGAGCCUCUUAAUGGGGUGACUGCGUACCUUUUGUAUAAUGGGUCAGCGACUUAUAUUCUGUAGCAAGGUUAACCGAAUAGGGGAGCCGAAGGGAAACCGAGUCUUAACUGGGCGUUAAGUUGCAGGGUAUAGACCCGAAACCCGGUGAUCUAGCCAUGGGCAGGUUGAAGGUUGGGUAACACUAACUGGAGGACCGAACCGACUAAUGUUGAAAAAUUAGCGGAUGACUUGUGGCUGGGGGUGAAAGGCCAAUCAAACCGGGAGAUAGCUGGUUCUCCCCGAAAGCUAUUUAGGUAGCGCCUCGUGAAUUCAUCUCCGGGGGUAGAGCACUGUUUCGGCAAGGGGGUCAUCCCGACUUACCAACCCGAUGCAAACUGCGAAUACCGGAGAAUGUUAUCACGGGAGACACACGGCGGGUGCUAACGUCCGUCGUGAAGAGGGAAACAACCCAGACCGCCAGCUAAGGUCCCAAAGUCAUGGUUAAGUGGGAAACGAUGUGGGAAGGCCCAGACAGCCAGGAUGUUGGCUUAGAAGCAGCCAUCAUUUAAAGAAAGCGUAAUAGCUCACUGGUCGAGUCGGCCUGCGCGGAAGAUGUAACGGGGCUAAACCAUGCACCGAAGCUGCGGCAGCGACACUGUGUGUUGUUGGGUAGGGGAGCGUUCUGUAAGCCUGUGAAGGUGUACUGUGAGGUAUGCUGGAGGUAUCAGAAGUGCGAAUGCUGACAUAAGUAACGAUAAAGCGGGUGAAAAGCCCGCUCGCCGGAAGACCAAGGGUUCCUGUCCAACGUUAAUCGGGGCAGGGUGAGUCGACCCCUAAGGCGAGGCCGAAAGGCGUAGUCGAUGGGAAACAGGUUAAUAUUCCUGUACUUGGUGUUACUGCGAAGGGGGGACGGAGAAGGCUAUGUUGGCCGGGCGACGGUUGUCCCGGUUUAAGCGUGUAGGCUGGUUUUCCAGGCAAAUCCGGAAAAUCAAGGCUGAGGCGUGAUGACGAGGCACUACGGUGCUGAAGCAACAAAUGCCCUGCUUCCAGGAAAAGCCUCUAAGCAUCAGGUAACAUUAAAUCGUACCCCAAACCGACACAGGUGGUCAGGUAGAGAAUACCAAGGCGCUUGAGAGAACUCGGGUGAAGGAACUAGGCAAAAUGGUGCCGUAACUUCGGGAGAAGGCACGCUGAUAUGUAGGUGAAGCGACUUGCUCGUGGAGCUGAAAUCAGUCGAAGAUACCAGCUGGCUGCAACUGUUUAUUAAAAACACAGCACUGUGCAAACACGAAAGUGGACGUAUACGGUGUGACGCCUGCCCGGUGCCGGAAGGUUAAUUGAUGGGGUUAGCGGUAACGCGAAGCUCUUGAUCGAAGCCCCGGUAAACGGCGGCCGUAACUAUAACGGUCCUAAGGUAGCGAAAUUCCUUGUCGGGUAAGUUCCGACCUGCACGAAUGGCGUAAUGAUGGCCAGGCUGUCUCCACCCGAGACUCAGUGAAAUUGAACUCGCUGUGAAGAUGCAGUGUACCCGCGGCAAGACGGAAAGACCCCGUGAACCUUUACUAUAGCUUGACACUGAACAUUGAGCCUUGAUGUGUAGGAUAGGUGGGAGGCUUUGAAGUGUGGACGCCAGUCUGCAUGGAGCCGGCCUUGAAAUACCACCCUUUAAUGUUUGAUGUUCUAACGUUGGCCCCUGAUCGGGGUUGCGGACAGUGUCUGGUGGGUAGUUUGACUGGGGCGGUCUCCUCCUAAAGAGUAACGGAGGAGCACGAAGGUUGGCUAAUCCUGGUCGGACAUCAGGAGGUUAGUGCAAUGGCAUAAGCCAGCUUGACUGCGAGCGUGACGGCGCGAGCAGGUGCGAAAGCAGGUCAUAGUGAUCCGGUGGUUCUGAAUGGAAGGGCCAUCGCUCAACGGAUAAAAGGUACUCCGGGGAUAACAGGCUGAUACCGCCCAAGAGUUCAUAUCGACGGCGGUGUUUGGCACCUCGAUGUCGGCUCAUCACAUCCUGGGGCUGAAGUAGGUCCCAAGGGUAUGGCUGUUCGCCAUUUAAAGUGGUACGCGAGCUGGGUUUAGAACGUCGUGAGACAGUUCGGUCCCUAUCUGCCGUGGGCGCUGGAGAACUGAGGGGGGCUGCUCCUAGUACGAGAGGACCGGAGUGGACGCAUCACUGGUGUUCGGGUUGUCAUGCCAAUGGCACUGCCCGGUAGCUAAAUGCGGAAGAGAUAAGUGCUGAAAGCAUCUAAGCACGAAACUUGCCCCGAGAUGAGUUCUCCCUGACCCUUUAAGGGUCCUGAAGGAACGUUGAAGACGACGACGUUGAUAGGCCGGGUGUGUAAGCGCAGCGAUGCGUUGAGCUAACCGGUACUAAUGAACCGUGAGGCUUAACCUUACAACGCCGAAGGUGUUU
rnacentral:rRNA from 1 species